rnacentral:lncRNA from 1 species
UUGGCAUCAAUUUAAAAUUUACGCGUAAUACCUUGUCUAGGACAUUGGCAUCGUAUAUGAUUUACGUGUAAGAUCCUAUCUGGGACAGUAGCAUCGAUAUUUGAUUACAUGUAAGACCACGUCUCGGACGAUGGCAUUUUACGAGCUGUUGAGCUACCAGAAUAUCCUUAUUGAUUCCAAAUGGUUCAAUGGGUAGUGUUAAGUUAUGAUCGAGUGUAAAAUUGAGUUAGAAAGAAUCAGGUAUGUAUUCAUAUUAAAUUAUGAAAAUA